AAAAAAGGUAAGCUACUAAGAGCGAAUGGUGGAUGCCUUGACUGGUAAAGGCGAUGAAGGACGUACUAGACUGCGAUAAGCUACGGGGAGCUGUCAAGAAGCUUUGAUCCGUAGAUUUCCGAAUGGGGCAACCCAAUGUAUAGAGAUAUACAUUACCUAUAUAGGAGCGAACGAGGGGAAUUGAAACAUCUUAGUACCCUCAGGAAAAGAAAUCAAUAGAGAUUGCGUCAGUAGCGGCGAGCGAAAGCGCAAGAGGGCAAACCCAGUGCUUGCACUGGGGGUUGUAGGACUGCAAUGUGCAAGAGCUGAGUUUAGCAGAACAUUCUGGAAAGUAUAGCCAUAGAGGGUGAUAGUCCCGUAUGCGAAAAACAAAGCUUAGCUAGCAGUAUCCUGAGUAGGGCGGGACACGAGGAAUCCUGUCUGAAUCCGGGUCGACCACGAUCCAACCCUAAAUACUAAUACCAGAUCGAUAGUGCACAAGUACCGUGAGGGAAAGGUGAAAAGAACUGAGGUGAUCAGAGUGAAAUAGAACCUGAAACCAUUUGCUUACAAUCAUUCAGAGCACUAUGUAGCAAUACAGUGUGAUGGACUGCCUUUUGCAUAAUGAGCCUGCGAGUUGUGGUGUCUGGCAAGGUUAAGCAAACGCGAAGCCGUAGCGAAAGCGAGUCUGAAUAGGGCGCUUAGUCAGAUGCUGCAGACCCGAAACGAAGUGAUCUAUCCAUGAGCAAGUUGAAGCUAGUGUAAGAACUAGUGGAGGACUGAACCCAUAGGCGUUGAAAAGCCCCGGGAUGACUUGUGGAUAGGGGUGAAAGGCCAAUCAAACUUCGUGAUAGCUGGUUCUCUCCGAAAUAUAUUUAGGUAUAGCGUUGUGUCGUAAUAUAAGGGGGUAGAGCACUGAAUGGGCUAGGGCAUACACCAAUGUACCAAACCCUAUCAAACUCCGAAUACCUUAUAUGUAAUCACAGCAGUCAGGCGGCGAGUGAUAAAAUCCGUCGUCAAGAGGGAAACAACCCAGACUACCAGCUAAGGUCCCUAAAUCUUACUUAAGUGGAAAACGAUGUGAAGUUACUUAAACAACCAGGAGGUUGGCUUAGAAGCAGCCAUCCUUUAAAGAAAGCGUAAUAGCUCACUGGUCUAGUGAUUUUGCGCGGAAAAUAUAACGGGGCUAAAGUAAGUACCGAAGCUGUAGACUUGCGCACAACUUAGAUUAUUUAAGUUUAGAAUAUGAGAAACUAAGUUAUGUUUAGUUAUAUUUUUACUGAUUUUUAUAGAGUAAAGAUAGAAAUAAAACUUAGUAAAAUCAGUAAAAAUAUUCUUAGGCUAAAGUUAAGUAGUUUAAGUUGUGUGCAAGUGGUAGGAGAGCGUUCUAUUUGCGUCGAAGGUAUACCGGUAAGGAGUGCUGGAGCGAAUAGAAGUGAGCAUGCAGGCAUGAGUAGCGAUAAUUAAUGUGAGAAUCAUUAACGCCGUAAACCCAAGGUUUCCUACGCGAUGCUCGUCAUCGUAGGGUUAGUCGGGUCCUAAGUCGAGUCCGAAAGGGGUAGACGAUGGCAAAUUGGUUAAUAUUCCAAUACCAACAUUAGUGUGCGAUG
rnacentral:rRNA from 1 species